UUUGAUUCCCUAUUUUACAUCCCGGAGAAACUUGAGUAAUUGUUUUUGCAUCUAUCAGCUGCUGAAGUUUUUUUUGGUCUUUAUGAUUUUUACAUCUACAUCAUCUAUUGUAGAUGCUCUGAAGUCGGCCACGAUUGUGGUAAAAUGUUGACACUCUGGGGCCUGUAAAAAAGAAAUGUUUGACAGUCUGGGAGCCGUGGAGCAACACGCUCGAGGUGUCGUAGUGGAGGGAAGCGUACCAAACUGGUCAAAAUCCGAUUCCAACCACUACCAACCACAUCGCAGAAGUGCGAAUCCGCCCGCCCAACGCCGACACGGCACCAGAACACCCCGUCACAGCGGCGCGCCUCCGAGUCAAGCCAACCCCCGCGCGGCGGCCGCCCGUAGCCACCGUGUCCUGCUGUCCCAGGAAUAGGAUCCCGCCGGCUGCGCGGCCGAGGGAGAGAUGCGGCGGUCGUCGAGCGGGGCGCGCGUGUCGGAGGGCGGCGACGCGUCCUCGUCCUCGUCGGGCCACCACGGCGACGGCACGGCGCUCCCGACGUUCGACCCGCAGUCGGCGGCGGGCCGGCGGGAGGCGGCGCGGACCCGGGCGCUGGGGCGCGCCGUGCACUUCAUCCCGCUGUUGCUGCUGCUCUGCGCCCUCGUGCUCUGGCUCUCCGCCGCCUCCACCUCCCCGGUUCACCUCGGUAAGGUUCCUGCCAACUCUUCCCCUCUUCUCCCUCCCGAUCCAGUCCCCACCUUCGUCACGAUGGACCUGCUGUACAUGAGGGCACCUCUCCGCCCCUCCGCACGCGCCCCUGGAGCAAUCGUCGAUAAGGCCAUCCCGUUAAGACGACGUUGAAGCCUAAAACCGGUGAAUAGUCGUACUGCGAUAGCGGUAUUCCUAGCGUAUUUCCACCCAUAAGAUCUCUUGGUGCCCAUCUGAAUACAAUCACCAAAUGGCCAAUUUUAUCCAGGAUAGCGCGUGAGGUGAACGGAGCACAACUGCACAAUGCGGUAGGCAGGUCUGUGUUUGACCAAUGUAUUCAUAAACGAGUGAAAUGACAAUGCCCCCGUUGCUUGUAUGUGAGGCCUAUGUCAGGACUUUAUCAAUUUCUGCCAGGUUGUGUUUAGCAUAAUCCUGCAAAGCUUUGCAAAUAAAGAAAAUGCCCUAGGUAGUUUUUUUUUUUUUUUUUGCGGGGAAAAUGCCCUAGGUAGUUGGCUGCCCAUUACAGGGAGUAGCACAAAAUACUAGUUAGCACAUAGUACCCUGAUAUCCUCAGGCUAGUGCCAAUCCUCCCUGCAACACGCAAGUGUUAUUGCCUUGUUUCCGGCAUCCAGGCGCCAAUCUUGGUUCCUAUGCCUUAUGACCACUGAAACUGUUUGAUGCUUCAAUCAGGAUAUGUGAAAUAGCACCUGUAUGCAUCUAGUUUAUUGUGGCAGAAACCUCCCUGGUAGUUUACUGCAUCAGCCUAUCAGGGGAUGGUAUGCACUUGCUCUUAGAGCAAUCUUGUUUCACUGCACAACUGCAGCGCGGUAUCACCUUUUUUAUAUUCGCCCUGUCAGGACUCGUGAGCCAAUUAUCAGAAAGACAUUCAGUUGUUUUCAGUUGCUUUGGGGAUCUGUCUCCAGCUUAAAGUGUACCCCCUCUGCCCCACAAUAUAAGACGUUUUUGUAACCUAUGUUAGCUUGCAAAAACGUCUUAAAUUAUGGGACGGAGGGGUACUUUUGAAUGAGCCGAAUCAUCAUGUGGUUUAGCUGGCAAUGUGCAACUGAGUAGGAUGAAAAGAUGUCCAUGUGCUCACCAUCUCCACAAUUUUCCGGUGUCGCAAGUUCUGUUACGCAUUUGAUUGCCCCCGAUAGAUGCUACACUGUGUUAUCACUUGCUUACUAUGGAAUUUUGAAUUUGGUGGUACAUUAUAUUUCUAUAUUAUGUUAAUUCCUUGUUCCGCUCCCAAAAUGCUUUCUCAUGAUCAUAGUUUUGCUGCUGUAUACAGACUGAUAACAGGACGAUAUGGCAAGUUGAUCCAGAAUCUGGUGUCCAUAGGUUCCACAAAAGGGUACAGUUAAGUUGAUCAGGAAUGAUGAGGUUAGUAAAGGAGGCCUUAAGUUCGGGUUUGGAAGAACUAGCACAGCAACAAGCUCACAUACUAGGUGGUUAUUUCUGGGUAUUCUUUUCACUCCAGAUUGGAGUUGGUGUAAUUUGGCCCGCCAUUACAAUUUGUAUACAAAAAACUGAGUGAGCUCUUUUACGGUGAUUGGGGAGUUACAUCUUGUAAUUUGAUGUAACUCCUCCCUUAAUUAUUCUCCACCGUUGAUUAUAACUUGUUAACUAAAAAAGUUAAAUUUAAUCAACAAGGGUAUUAUGGUCAUGUGUAAUUGUUUUUUUAGUAACUCUGUCAAUUCGCUGGUCAAUC
rnacentral:lncRNA from 1 species